GCAAACUUGGUCAUUUAGAGGAAGUAAAAGUCGUAACAAGGUCUCCGUUGGUGAACCAGCGGAGGGAUCAUUAAAGAGUGAAUACUCCUAAACCAUUUGUUUAUCUACCUGUUUCGUUGCUUCGGCAGGCGGUCCUUAGGGUCCUUCGCCUCUCGUAGGUGCCUGCCGGAGUACCCAAAACUCUUGUUAAUUACUGUUUCUCUGAGUAAACUUUUAAUAAGUUAAAACUUUCAACAACGGAUCUCUUGGUUCUGGCAUCGAUGAAGAACGCAGC
rnacentral:misc_RNA from 1 species